rnacentral:tRNA from 1 species
UGGGAUGUAGGUCAGUGGUAGAUUCCUUGCCUAGCAAGCAGGAGGCCCUGGGUACAAUCUCCAGCACUGCAA